rnacentral:rRNA from 1 species
GACGAACGCUGGCGGCGUGCUUAACACAUGCAAGUCGAGCGGUAAGGCCCUUUCGGGGGUACACGAGCGGCGAACGGGUGAGUAACACGUGGGUGACCUGCCUCUAGCUCUGGGAUAAGCCUGGGAAGCUGGGUCUAAUACCGGAUAUGACCUCGCGGUGCAUGUUGCGGGGUGGAAAGCCUUGUGCGGCUAGGGAUGGGCCCGCGGCCUAUCAGCUUGUUGGUGGGGUGAUGGCCUACCAAGGCGACGACGGGCAGCCGGCCUGAGAGGGCGACCGGCCACACUGGGACUGAGACACGGCCCAGACUCCUACGGGAGGCAGCAGUGGGGAAUCUUGCGCAAUGGGCGAAAGCCUGACGCAGCGACGCCGCGUGAGGGAUGACGGCCUGG